rnacentral:lncRNA from 1 species
GUAGGAGCAGAACAGCAGGAGCUAGAAUACAGUGAGGACUGUCCCCUCCAGGGAAAACCAUCUCCAGUCAUCAAUAUCAGACGGCCAGCACACCCAUCAUCAAGGCAAACUUCUGUUGGUGAAGACCAGAGAUUUUGGUCUAAGCAAGUUGGCCGCCUGAGAUGAGAAUACACUAAGAUGAGGAAGAUGCUGCUGUAAUCAAGGCAAUACGGAACCAGAUAUGCAGUGACCACAAGCUGGGCUACGGACGUCCUUCCCCACUAGUGAAUAUUCAGUCUCUUUGGAAAGAAGUGGUUCCUCCUCUGCGGAGGAAAGUCUCACAACACAGGUCUUUGUCUUUCUGAUGGAAUAUGUUCCAAGGAAAGUCUUCCCCAACUCCAGCUGAUUCUGGAGGCUCCCAGAUGCUUCCUUCACUUUGUGCAGUGCAAUGGCCAUGGAGAAGACCUGCACUGGAGAAGUUUUGGAGUCCAGCUAUACCUGUGGAAAUCAGCUUCAGAUCAUCUGGGAUCUCCACAGAUGUCCUGUUCCUUUCCACCCAUCCUCUUAAGCCUUCCUUGACAAGGCUCCCAUCACAGCGUGGACUAAAGCUGAGCUCAUUAGCACAAAGAGGAAGCAAGUUCAUUAGCUCACGUUUAGCUUGAUGGAAACCACAGCUUUGGGUCUGUGAGCACAGAGCUUGUGUGACACCACAGCCACAUGCCUGUGCUCCAUCUUCCUGCCCUAUAAAGCACCGAUUGUCACAUCUGGAGCUCCCCGCUCCGGCAGCCUUUACUACAUUCUUCAUUUUGAUGCCACGUUCCAGGCUUUAAAUUGCUGAGUCCCCUAUUGCUCAUUAGCAGGCGCAGAGAAAUGGCUUUUAUAGACCCAUGUAUUAAACAAAUAAAAGACGUCAAGGAAACUUAAAAACA